rnacentral:rRNA from 1 species
GACGAACGCUGGCGGCGUGCUUAACACAUGCAAGUCGAACGGAAAGGCCCUGCUUUUGUGGGGUGCUCGAGUGGCGAACGGGUGAGUAACACGUGAGUAACCUGCCCUUGACUUUGGGAUAACUUCAGGAAACUGGGGCUAAUACCGGAUAGGAGCUCCUGCUGCAUGGUGGGGGUUGGAAAGUUUCGGCGGUUGGGGAUGGACUCGCGGCUUAUCAGCUUGUUGGUGGGGUAGUGGCUUACCAAGGCUUUGACGGGUAGCCGGCCUGAGAGGGUGACCGGCCACAUUGGGACUGAGAUACGGCCCAGACUCCUACGGGAGGCAGCAGUGGGGAAUAUUGCACAAUGGGCGGAAGCCCGAUGCAGCAACGCCGCGUGCGGGAUGACGGCCUUCGGGCUGUAAACCGCUUUCGCCUGUGACGAAGCGUGAGUGACGGUAAUGGGUAAAGAAGCACCGGCUAACUACGUG